rnacentral:rRNA from 1 species
AUUGAACGCUGGCGGCAGGCCUAACACAUGCAAGUCGAGCGAGCGGCGGACGGGUGAGUAAUGUCUGGGCAUCUGCCUGAUGGAGGGGGAUACCUACUGGAAACGGUAGCUAAUACCGCAUACCAUCAGAUUUGCCCAGGUGGGAUUAGCUAGUAGGUGGGGUAACGGCUAACCUAGGCGCCGAUCCCUAGCUGGUCUGAGAGGAUGACCAGCAACACUGGAAAUGAGAACGGGUCCAGGCUCCUAGGGGGGGCGGCGGGGGGGAAUAUUGAACAGUGGGGCAAACCCUAAUGCAGCCAUGCCGCGUGUGUGAGGAAGGCCGACGGGUUGUAAAGCGCUUUCAGCGGGGAGGCGUUACCCGCAGAAGAAGCACCGGCAAACUCCGGGGCAGCAGCCGCGUAAUAC